CUCAAGCAGGCAAUACCGUUUUCUGUGCUCUUUGCCUGACUAGCAGUAAUCAAUUUGUAGUGCUACCUAACCUAUAAUACAGUGAUCAUAGUGGUGCGGUAGAGGGUGAGUUGAGAUAGGCUGUGCAGGAGCCUCAAACCCUCAGCUUUCAAAUGAAUGCAUGACGAUGCAUGUAGCGAUGGCAGAGUAGAGCAAUAGUGAUUACGUGAGAUCGGCCCGUCUUUUCUAUCCAAAAUUCUGCAUGGCGGUGACAUUCAUCGCUCUGGUGGUGUGGUGACGUAGCAUCCCACCAUGGCCACUGAAUUACUGGAUCUCGGAGUUGCUGGCUUCCCGCCAGUAGUCAUGGACUUUCUGUUCCGGGCCAAUUCUAGCAGUCUACGUGGGAUACACGCACGACACGGACACCAUACAGUAGGAUAAGUACUAAAACUUAGAAUGUAAGUACACUUAGGAUAUAAGUAACACUUUAAUAAACAUCACCUACAGUUUUGCAUGUAAAAUUUAUACUUUUGCUUUGGAACACGAUGACUCGAUUCGUCUUCUUUUUUGUUGGUUUCGCUGUACUUAUUUCGAACCAGGUUUGUAGGCAGAAUUGGUAAGUGGGUCAAUGGGACCAGUAUCAGUACAUCUUCUUUCCACCUAUUUUGUCUUCGUCUCAUGCGACUCCCCCCUUUCCUCGGGCGGGGA